AUGGGGAAAUUCUGAGCAGUGGUUGCCAAAUUUCUUUUCCUUUUUUUUUGAGACGGAAUCUCCCUUUGUCACCCAGGCUGGAGUGCAACACCUGUAAUCCCAGCACUUUGGGAGGCCAAGGUGGGCGGAUCACUUGAGGUCAGGAGUCACUUGAGGUCAAGACCAGCCUGGCCAACAUGGUGAAACCUUGUCUCUACUAAAAAUACAAACAUUAGCCAGGCAUGGUGAUGUGUGCAUGUAAUUCCAGCUACUCAGGAGGCUGAAGCAGGAGAAUGACUUGAACCCAGGAGGUAGAGAUU
rnacentral:lncRNA from 1 species